CCGUGGCGCGGUUUCGGUUUUUUCUCGAUGACGCUGUUCGAUCCGAUUCUCUCGUAGAAUGUGGAGCGGGAACGGGUCGUGGUUGGGAGUGAUGGAUGUUCUGACAACGCUUGAUUGCAGCGAGUGGAGUGGGGCGAGAGAACUUUGAGUGAGGUCCAAGGCUCAUAAAGCUGUUUUCAAUCACGCUCUUGUGACGAUGGUCGUGGAGUAUGCAUCUGCUGUUUACAUGUCAGAUUUGACAGAACUUUU